GGUGUGCCUGACCAUGCUUGCAAGAUCGUGGUCAGGGUGAUGUAGAGUGAGACUUUCAGGGGACUGCAUUUCUCUUUCGGUUUCACUUUUGUACUUGCUGGACAGACUGCUGCCACGCCGGCUGGCUAGGUUGCUCUGGUCUGCGUAUGUCACACAGGUUGGCUUGGAACUAUGUAACCCAGGCUGCCUUAGCCUCCAAGAUGUGUUUAAAUUACAGGCAUGAACCACCACAACCCUCCACCUCUGUUUUCUCUCAGAAUAAACACAUCCAGAAAAACAAGCAAAUGGAAACAGUGAAAUUUAUCACUGCAAUGGGUACAACGGACACACAACUCCAAAGAGAACUGGACAAAGCAAGGACACAGAGAAGAAGGUGCUUCAGGACUUCAAAAAUGCUUGGAAAGAAGGCCUUCUCAGAAGCCAUACUUAUGCUCCACCUAAGAGAAAUAGGCCUGCAUUGACUAAUACAGUUAUAAAAUGUCUGUAUGAAUCACGUGGGGUCUGCUUUUUUCUUUUUUCUUUCCUUCCCUUCCCUCUGCCUUGUUCCAUUUUAUGACCACUGGCAACUGAUCCUGGGACAGCAGGUUGAAAUGCCUUUCAA
rnacentral:lncRNA from 1 species